AUGCGAGAUGGACUGCGGCGAAUGUCACACGGGAAACGUGGGAGAUCUCGGUUUCAACCGGCAUUCUGCGGUUAUAACAAGACGUGGGAUUUUGCGGACUCGGUGAAAUUUGAGACAAACAUGUUGCAUGCUUUCACCUGUUUGUUUUAUUCUGUUUCUCAAGUUGCCAGGAAGUUCUGUUCUGUACAUCCUCUUGAGAGAGCUGCAAAUGAACACUCGUGGUUGCUUAAGCAACUCAUGCGGUGCAUGCACAUGAGAGAAGAAAAAUCCCUUUCACUAAAAAAGAAGAGUGGAAUUAAGAACCUAGUAAUUUAA
rnacentral:rRNA from 1 species